CCUACGGGGUGCAGCAGUGGGGAAUAUUGCACAAUGGGCGCAAGCCUGAUGCAGCCAUGCCGCGUGUGUGAAGAAGGCCUUCGGGUUGUAAAGCACUUUCAGCGGGGAGGAAGGCGUUAAGGUUAAUAACCUUGUCGAUUGACGUUACCCGCAGAAGAAGCACCGGCUAACUCCGUGCCAGCAGCCGCGGUAAUACGGAGGGUGCAAGCGUUAAUCGGAAUUACUGGGCGUAAAGCGCACGCAGGCGGUCUGUCAAGUCGGAUGUGCAAUCCCCGGGCUCAACCUAGGAACUGCAUUCGAAACUGGCAGGAUAGAGUCUUGUAGAGGGGGGUAGAAUUCCAGGUGUAGCGGUGAAAUGCGUAGAGAUCUGGAGGAAUACCGGUGGCGAAGGCGGCCCCCUGGACAAAGACUGACGCUCAGGUGCGAAAGCGUGGGGAGCAAACAGGAUUAGAUACCCGGGUAGUC
rnacentral:rRNA from 1 species